rnacentral:rRNA from 1 species
GACGAAGGAUCCAAGCGUUAUCCGGAUUUAUUGGGCUUAAAGGGUGCGUAGGCGGAUUGAUAAGUCAGUGGUGAAAGCCUGCAGCUUAACUGCAGAACUGCCAUUGAUACUGUCGAUCUUGAAUAUGGUUGAUGUGGGCGGAAUAUGACAUGUAGCGGUGAAAUGCUUAGAUAUGUCAUAGAACACCGAUUGCGAAGGCAGCUCACAAAGCCAUUAUUGACGCUGAGGCACGAAAGCGUGGGGAUCAAACAGG